AUUUAACGUGAGAAGAAGUAGAAUGGACGUUGAAUAAGGAACAUUUACCUGAUUCAGCCUGGUUGAGAGAAUGAUUAUUGCAGAUGCAUUGCAGUCACUAAGUUACCUUCGACCGUCUAGGCUUCCCAACCUUUUUCAAGACCUGAGAUGAAAGGAAGCGAACCUCCACCUGCUAGACAAAGGAUCACCUUGGAAGAACAGAAGAGGCAGCCGGAAGUUUUCGCUGCUGUCAUCUAAAUGAUCAACACAUACGGUUGUCAUUUCAACGGGCUAAAAAAUCAACUGGAUAUCACCACUAGCAUCUGGAAUAGGUUCUGUGAUAAAAGAUGAAUUUCCAGAUCUCAUCAUUUCUGCAGUAACAUCAAUUGCUGGAUGCCAAGAUGGACAGCCAGACAACAGGAAUCAUAAACAUCAUGACCAGAUGACCACAUUGGAUUGCCUGUUCGUAAAUGAAAUGCAGUCCCGGCAUCUUCUGCAAGAGUAAUUGCACCUUAAAGAAAAUAUGUGUAAGCUAUAUAUAUGGGAAUAGUUAAUACGAGGUUUAACAUCUUGCAAUAAACUUAAUCUCGCUGACUGUAUACAA